rnacentral:lncRNA from 1 species
AGGGCUCGGUCCAAUCAUAUAAAUAAUUAGAAUCACCCAGUCAAAAGAAACUAGGGCAUGAGUUAAUCCUCAUUGUUUGAGUCGAUUCCAAAAGUUGUAAGUCCUAACCCACUUCAAGUGUCGUUUGGGCCUCACGCCAUCCUUUCUUUCUAACCCUAUCCAAAAGCCAAGUUACAACCAAAGAAAAGACCUUCAGAUCAAUCUUUGGGGAUGUUAAGGCAAAGCAUGCAAGGGAUAUGAUGAUGUAUUUGGGAACUACCUGUCUUCCUCAGCC